rnacentral:hammerhead_ribozyme from 1 species
AUCCAGGUGACGAGUCCCAAACAGGACAAAACGCGUGUCCUGGAU